GAACAAUGCUUCAAGGGUGCAAGUUGGAUCAUCACAUGAGGUACAGAAUAACAAUUCCUCGUUGCAGAUUGGAACCUCAUCAAACAAUGUUCAAAACAAUGCUUCAAGGGUGCAAGUUGGAUCAUCAUGUGAGGUACAUGAUAACAAUUCGUUGUUGCAGGUUGGAUCCUCAUUGAACAAUGUUCAAAACAAUGCUUCAAGGGCGCAAGUUGGAUCAUCAUAUGGGCUGCAGAAUAACAAUAUGCUUCUACAGCCUGGAUCGUCAUUAAACUGGCUGCAGAAUAAUUUGUCGAUGUUUCAUCCUAGACCCUCAUUUAAUU
rnacentral:lncRNA from 1 species